rnacentral:rRNA from 1 species
GUGAGGAAUUUUGCGCAAUGGCCGCAAGGCUGACGCAGCAACGCCGCGUGGGUGAUGAAGGCCUUCGGGUCGUAAAGCCCUGUCAGGUGGGAAGAAAGGCCUGGAGAGGAAAGGUUUCAGGUUUGACGGUACCACCAGAGGAAGCACCGGCUAACUCCGUGCCAGCAGCCGCGGUAAUACGGAGGGUGCGAGCGUUAUUCGGAAUUACUGGGCGUAAAGCGCGUGUAGGCGGGGGGACAAGUCUGAUGUGAAAGCCCUGGGCUUAACCUGGGAAGCGCAUUGGAAACUGUUUUUCUUGAGUACUGGAGAGGAAGGGGGAAUUCCCGGUGUAGAGGUGAAAUUCGUAGAGAUCGGGAGGAAUACCAGUGGCGUAGGCGCCCUUCUGGACGGUAACUGACGCUGAGACGCGAAAGCGUGGGGAGCAAACAGGAUUAGAUACCCGAGUAGUCC